rnacentral:rRNA from 1 species
CCUACGGGAGGCAGCAGUGGGGAAUAUUGGGCAAUGGGCGCAAGCCUGACCCAGCAACGCCGCGUGAAGGAAGAAGGCUUUCGGGUUGUAAACUUCUUUUGACAGGGAAGAGGAGAAGACGGUACCUGUCGAAUAAGCCACGGCUAACUAAGUGCCAGCAGCCGCGGUAAUACGUAGGUGGCAAGCGUUGUCCGGAUUUACUGGGUGGAAAGGGCGUGUAGGCGGGUUGACAAGUCAGAUGUGAAAUCCUGCGGCUUAACCGCAGAACUGCAUUUGAAACUGUUGAUCUUGAGUACUGGAGAGGCGGGCGGAAUUCCUAGUGUAGCGGUGAAAUGCGUAGAUAUUAGGAGGAACACCAGUGGCGAAGGCGGUCCGCUGGACAGCAACUGACGGUGAGGCGCGAAAGCGUGGGGAGCAAACAGGAUUAGAUACCCGAGUAGUC